rnacentral:rRNA from 1 species
CAGCCGCCGCGGUAAGACAGAGGUCCCGAGCGUUGUUCGGAUUCAUUGGGCGUAAAGGGUGUGUAGGAGGCCAGGUAAGUCAGGUGUGAAAUCUCAGAGCUUAACUCUGAAACUGCGCUUGAUACUGCUUGGCUAGAGGAUCGGAGGGGGUAACGGAAUUUAUGGUGUAGCAGUGAAAUGCGUAGAUAUCAUAAGGAACACCGGUGGCGAAGGCGGUUACCUGGAAGAUUCCUGACUCUGAAACACGAAAGCCAGGGGAGCAAACGGGAUUAGAUACCCCGGUAGUCCCUGUCUCUUAUAC